rnacentral:rRNA from 1 species
AUUGAACGCUGGCGGCAGGCCUAACACAUGCAAGUCGAGCGGAUGAAGGGAGCUUGCUCCUGGAUUCAGCGGCGGACGGGUGAGUAAUGCCUAAGAAUCUGCCUGGUAGUGGGGGAUAACGUCCGGAAACGGGCGCUAAUACCGCAUACGUCCUGAGGGAGAAAGUGGGGGAUCUUCGGACCUCACGCUAUCAGAUGAGCCUAUGUCGGAUUAGCUAGUUGGUGGGGUAAAGGCCUACCAAGGCGACGAUCCGUAACUGGUAUGAGAGGACGAUCAGUCACACUGGAACUGAGACACGGUCCAGACUCCUACGGGAGGCAGAAGUGGGGAAUAUUGGACAAUGGGCGAAAGCCUGAUCCAGCCAUGCCGCGUGUGUGAAGAAGGUCUUCGGAUUGUAAAGCACUUUUAUUUUGGAGGAAGGGCAGUAAGUUAAUACCUUGCUGUUUUGACGUUACCAACAGAAUAAGCACCGGCUAACUUCGUG